rnacentral:rRNA from 1 species
UACAGAGGUCUCAAGCGUUGUUCGGAAUCACUGGGCGUAAAGGGCGCGUAGGUGGCCCGUUAAGUGGUUGGUGAAAUCCCGGGGCUCAACUCCGGGGCUGCCGAUCAGACUGGCGGGCUAGAGCACGGUAGGGGCAGAUGGAAUUCCCGGUGUAGCGGUGGAAUGCGUAGAGAUCGGGAAGAAUACCAGUGGCGAAGGCGUUCUGCUGGGCCGUUGCUGACACUGAGGCGCGACAGCGUGGGGGAGCAAACAGG